AUUCUGGGAUAAUUACAUCCAGAAAGAAAAAAGCUCAAUUAUGUCAUGCUUUUUGGAUGACAUGGAUCCGACUCUAGCAUGAGAGGAGUGUCGUCUCUCACAUGAUAGGAGUGGAAUUGAGGGUUUUGAUCAAUUGUUAGUGUGAGAUGUGUAGGAGUGGUGCGGUGAGGGUUUGAUGAGUGUUCUUCCUUGGGGAUUUAUAGUUGCUAUCUUUAUCAUAGGUGGUGAGAGGGGAGGCAAGGGAGGUUCAGUUUGGGGUUUGAUGGAGGCAAGUGGUUGUAUAUCAUCUCAAUAUGAUAAGUUUGAAGGAUUUGGGAGUGGAGCAGUUGGGUAACCAGUUAGUACUUACAAAGGAGGAAGAGGAUG